rnacentral:rRNA from 1 species
CCUACGGGCGGCUGCAGUGGGGAAUAUUGCACAAUGGACGAAAGUCUGAUGCAGCAACGCCGCGUGGAGGAUGACACAUUUCGGUGCGUAAACUCCUUUUAUAUGAGAAGAUAAUGACGGUAUUAUAUGAAUAAGCACCGGCUAACUCCGUGCCAGCAGCCGCGGUAAUACGGGGGGUGCAAGCGUUACUCGGAAUCACUGGGCGUAAAGAGCAUGUAGGCGGAUUAAUAAGUUUGAAGUGAAAUCCUAUAGCUUAACUAUAGAACUGCUUUGAAAACUGUUAAUCUAGAAUGUGGGAGAGGUAGAUGGAAUUUCUGGUGUAGGGGUAAAAUCCGUAGAGAUCAGAAGGAAUACCGAUUGCGAAGGCGAUCUACUGGAACAUUAUUGACGCUGAGAUGCGAAAGCGUGGGGAGCAAACAGGCUUAGAUACCCCAGUAGUC